rnacentral:rRNA from 1 species
AUUGAACGCUGGCGGCAUGCCUUACACAUGCAAGUCGAACGGCAGCACGGGGGCAACCCUGGUGGCGGGUGGCGAACGGGUGAGUAACAUAUCGGAACAUACCCUAGAGUGGGGGAUAACGUAGCGAAAGUUACGCUAAUACCGCAUACGAUCUAAGGAUGAAAGUGGGGGAUCUUCGGACCUCAUGCUCAUGGAGUGGCCGAUAUCUGAUUAGCUAGUUGGUGAGGUAAAGGCUCACCAAGGCGACGAUCAGUAGCUGGUUUGAGAGAACGACCAGCCACACUGGAACUGAGACACGGUCCAGACUCCUACGGGAGGCAGCAGUGGGGAAUUUUGGACAAUGGGGGCAACCCUGAUCCAGCAAUGCCGCGUGAGUGAAGAAGGCCUUCGGGUU